AAGGUCUUCGGAUCGUAAAACUCUGUUAUUAGGGAAGAACAAAUGUGUAAGUAACUAUGCACGUCUUGACGGUACCUAAUCAGAAAGCCACGGCUAACUACGUGCCAGCAGCCGCGGUAAUACGUAGGUGGCAAGCGUUAUCCGGAAUUAUUGGGCGUAAAGCGCGCGUAGGCGGUUUUUUAAGUCUGAUGUGAAAGCCCACGGCUCAACCGUGGAGGGUCAUUGGAAACUGGAAAACUUGAGUGCAGAAGAGGAAAGUGGAAUUCCAUGUGUAGCGGUGAAAUGCGCAGAGAUAUGGAGGAACACCAGUGGCGAAGGCGACUUUCUGGUCUGUAACUGACGCUGAUGUGCGAAAGCGUGGGGAUCAAACAGGAUUAGAUACCCUGGUAGUCCACGCCGUAACGAUGAGUGCUAAGUGUUAGGGGGUUUCCGCCCCUUAGUGCUGCAGCUAACGCAUUAAGCACUCCGCCUGGGGAGUACGACCGCAAGGUUGAAACUCAAAGG
rnacentral:rRNA from 1 species